GAGACGUUAUGGGCGGCUUGUCCCUUCCUUUCCGCUGUUGAGAACGUGCGCGCAGAAAGGACCGCAGCCGCCGCACCCUUCUUCCCGUCUCCUCCUCCUCUCCCUCUUCUGCGCGACCAGAUUAAGAGGACACGAGCGGCGGCUCUCCCAGCCCCCGCUGCGUCAUCUGCUCCUCCAUUGACGGCAGUUAGGGAUAGCGAAUGUCAGCGAGAAAGGCCGUCGUCGGAGUACGCAGCCGUCUCCCUGUCCGCUUCUUCUGGUGGCGCCUCCCUACCGGAGUCCAUUCUUCUUGGCUUUCAGCGCUGCCUGUUCUUGCUGGGAACUACUGUUAUAUUACGUUCUGCAGUCGUUCUGCAGAUGGGAGGAAACAAUGAGGACAAGGCAGUUGUUAUGCAGAUGUUGAUGGUUUUGGCUGGAAUCAACACCCUUCUAAAGAGUUUCUUUUGUUACCUGAUUGCCUGCGGUGAUUGGUGUUUAUACACCUUUGUUCUACCUACCAUUUCGAUCAUACUUCUGGGACCCUACACGGAUGAACCACAUAUUAUAUGUUGA
rnacentral:rRNA from 1 species